UCAUACUCUGUAGAAGCAUCCCAUGCAAU
rnacentral:piRNA from 1 species